rnacentral:rRNA from 1 species
GCCAGCAGUUGCGGUUACACUAAUAAUAUAAUUUAAUUUUAUUAAUAAAAAUUAAUUUAAUAUAGAAAUUUUAAUAUAAUAUUUUUUAAGUGAAAUUUUAAAUUUUAAUUAUAAAUUUUAAAUUUUAAAUGAAGUUUAAAAAUUUAAUUAAUAAACUAGGAUUAGAUACCCUAUUAUUUUAAAUGUAAUCAAAAAUAUUAAAUUAGUAAUAGUUAUUUUCUUGAAAUUUAAAAAUUUUGGCGGUAUUUUAGUCUUUUCAGAGGAACCUGUUUUAUAAAUGAUAGUCCACGCUUUAAUUUACUUGAAUUAUUAGUUUGUAUAUCGUCGUAAUUAAAUAUUUUAAAAAAAUUUAAAUAUUUAAGUUUUUUUAUUAAAAAAUAAAUCAGAUCAAGGUGCAAUUUAUAUUUAAGUAGAAAUGGGUUACAAUAAAUUUAUUUUAGGAAAAUUUUUAUUAUAGAAAUUUGAAUUUGGAUUUGAUAGUAAUUUUAAUAAAUUAAUUAAUUUGAUUUUAGCUC